CUAUAGUUGGCCGCCAGCUGGCCAUUGUACGGAAUGAAAACACCCGUCUUCACCUUUCCGCCAUCUCUUUUGUUUUAUCAUAUCUCUCUUUUACCCACCUCGCUGGUGUGCGUAUGUGUGUGUGUGUGUGUGUGAGUGCGAGUGUGUGAGUGUUGGCUGUAAAUCUGGUUGUUAUUUUCUUGUACGCUACGCAGUUUGAAAAUCUCGAAAAGUCCAACAAAAGGCGAAGAAAUACCUGGAAAAAAGAUGGGCGAAGGGAGGGCCAUGCACAUAUGGCCAGUUUUCUGAGGGUGUAUUUAUAUAUUAACAGCCUGUUGUUUGUACACAAAGUCCACAAAAAGCCAAAAGACAAAUUCAUUACGGCAGUGGCGGUGGGCUGGUGAGGGGGAUGAUCACCAAAGGGGGGAGACGGCCAUUCGGUACUUUUUCGUAUGGUGAAAUUUACCGCUGCCAUGUUGUAUCUUUUUUUUUUCUGUUUUUUUUUUCUCGUGUGCUGGCACAUCAAAUGCGUUAAUUGACAACAACGAAAAGCCAAAUGUUCGAGUGCCUGCGUGAGCAGUUCAGUGUGAAAAUAGGCAACGUCCUGUGGCCUGAGGCCCCCCUUCAACAAAGUAAACCAACUCCCACCGCCACUGGCUUUUUAUUUUUGAGUUUUGUUUUGUGCGACGCGCUCAUUUGCGCCAUGCUCCACUUAACGUGCAACAAUUUUCCAUCUGCGACGUCGCCGUCAGGCGAACAACCUGCAUAUAUCAAUUGAAAUCGCUGAUUAAGGCGCAAAGCUCAUUGUUUUUGUCGCAAUUUGCAAUUGAAACGCUGGAGCUGAAAAAAAAAAAAAAAUAAAACCCUCGGGCUGGCAACUCUCUUGCCACCGUUAAUUUCGCUUUCGCGCGUUUACUGCGACAGGUGGCAACUUUGCUCGCCGGCUAACGGCACUUUUUAGUUUUCCCCAAAAAUAAAAGAUGGAAAACGGUGGAAAAUCGCUUACGUAACGGUUUGUGCGACAUUUAGCUUUCUUUGUCUGCUUAUCGGCUCAUUUACCCAGUUAUUUACUCAUUUAUUUAUCGCCAACCAACCAUCAGUUAAAGUGCAUUGCUUAUCUGCGUGGCCAACUUAUGUGCCGUGCACACUGUUCCCUUCUUUCGGUGUGAGAACAGGUGUAUUUUCCAGCAUUUAGCUUGGGGAAGAAAAUCUGCGGCCUUAUGACACUAGCUUAAAAUUCUAAUAACUAUCUGAAUUUAUU